UGUCGCCUACGGGGGGCAGCAGUGAGGAAUAUUGGUCAAUGGGCGGUAGCCUGAACCAGCCAAGUAGCGUGAAGGAUGAAGGUUCUAUGGGUUGUAAACUUCUUUUAUAAAGGAAUAAAGUGAGGCACGUGUGCCUUUUUGUAUGUACUUUAUGAAUAAGGAUCGGCUAACUCCGUGCCAGCAGCCGCGGUAAUACGGAGGAUCCGAGCGUUAUCCGGAUUUAUUGGGUUUAAAGGGAGCGUAGAUGGGCUGUUAAGUCAGUUGUGAAAGUUUGCGGCUCAACCGUAAAAUUGCAAUUGAUACUG
rnacentral:rRNA from 1 species